GGGGCUGAUCGGUUUCGACGUUGGGACUGGCAGCUGCGCUGUGCGACCCGAGUUGCUCAGACUCGCAAAACGGGGCAAAAAAAUAACCGACACUGAUAGUGUCCCUCUUGCAGCCUGAUCCAUCAGGAAUCAAGAGCCAUCGCGACCGGUAACGGCACGCGGGGCCAGUCCAUCGCAGCCCGGCAACAGAAGCGUUGGAGACAGUAGGCACAGACCACUGACGGCGGGAAAGACCGCUGACUCCAGGAAACAGACCCGGUGGCAAGCUCCUAAUUGGGGCUAACCCGACCCGGCGGUGUGGCUGCCAUUGAUGCCGCAAACAGGGAAUGGUCGUAUCGCAGGUAGAUACCGCCUAGCGGACGGGGGUUCGAUUCCCCCCAGCUCCACUU
rnacentral:tmRNA from 1 species